rnacentral:rRNA from 1 species
AUUGAACGCUGGCGGCAGGCCUAACACAUGCAAGUCGAGCGGUUGAGGGGAGCUUGCUCCCUGAUUCAGCGGCGGACGGGUGAGUAAUGCCUAGGAAUCUGCCUAUUAGUGGGGGACAACGUUUCGAAAGGAACGCUAAUACCGCAUACGUCCUACGGGAGAAAGCAGGGGACCUUCGGGCCUUGCGCUAAUAGAUGAGCCUAGGUCGGAUUAGCUUGUUGGUGAGGUAAUGGCUCACCAAGGCGACGAUCCGUAACUGGUCUGAGAGGAUGAUCAGUCACACUGGAACUGAGACACGGUCCAGACUCCUACGGGAGGCAGCAGUGGGGAAUAUUGGACAAUGGGCGAAAGCCUGAUCCAGCCAUGCCGCGUGUGUGAAGAAGGUCUUCGGAUUGUAAAGCACUUUAAGUUGGGAGGAAGGGUUGUAGAUUAAUACUCUGCAAUUUUGACGUUACCGACAGAAUAAGCACCGGCUAACUCUGUGCCAGCAGCCGCAGUAAUAC